GUUUGCGCCCGAAAGAGAGUUGGAGCCACGGUACCUGUGGGACGAAGGAGUGUUUGCUGACUACGUCUUGAAAGUUGAAGGCUAUGCGGAUUCUGGAGGCAUCCCACAGGAACCUGCAGCACUGCUGCAAGCUGGAGAGCACCACUAUAAAGCACCUGAUCUGCGUGCUUUUACAUAGGCUUGCAGCAAGAGGGAUAUCAAGAACACGGGAGAUGUCAAGACCACAUUAUAGUCACUGCUUGCUUGUGGUUUCUGAGGGCAUGUAUGAAAGGGUUGGAAAAUAAACAUCAGUGUUUGAAAAGAUUGGUGUGUUUCGCUAACAGGUACAUACUUUUAUAUGUACAAGGUUGCAUCAGAACAGUACCAGACAAUUUCUAAAAAUGCUGGAAAAAGUGGAUAAAUGUCACCAGGAUGUUUCUAGGGCGAGCAACAGAAAGUUGGAAACAAGUUACAAGAAUGUUUCUAGAGCAAGCAACAGAAAGUUAGAAAAAUGUUGCAAGGAUGUUUC